UACGUAGGGUGCAAGCGUUAUCCGGAAUUAUUGGGCGUAAAGAGCUCGUAGGCGGUUUGUCGCGUCUGCUGUGAAAACUGGGGGCUCAACUCCGGAUCUGCGGUGGGUACGGGCAGACUAGAGUGAUGUAGGGGAGACUGGAAUUCCUGGUGUAGCGGUGAAAUGCGCAGAUAUCAGGAGGAACACCGGUGGCGAAGGCGGUUCUCUGGGCCUUACCUGACACUGAGGAGCGAAAGCGUGGGGGAGCAAACAGG
rnacentral:rRNA from 1 species